UUAAAUUGUUAUUUUACCAAGACAAAAGUUUUGGGUUUGAAGAAGCUGAAUCAGAGCUCAAAGCAGCAGUGAUGCUAACCCAAAGCUAUCAUUUUAUAAUGAAUUUGCACUUUCAAUACCUGAACAAAUAUUUUAUUUAUUUAUUUAUUUAUUUAUUUUUAGGGUUAUAUGCUGUACAGGUUGUUCUGCAAGUUGGAAGUGUAGUUUAUGCUAAAAAUGACACCAGAUGCUAUGUCAGCCUAUAUGAAGCAAGGGAAAAAUCUUUUUAUCUUCAGAUGGAGCUACUGGGUGCUCAGCACUUCUGAAAAUCAAUGAAUAGAAAGAUUCUUCAGGUUCACAGGCUCUUCAGGAUGUGAUUCGGUUCCAGAUAGCUAAUCUGAAGAAAUAAUGUGGGGGUUUUGUAGAACAGAAGAUCCAAUCCAAUCCAAAUGUAAGGGCGUUUUUUCCUUCUGACUUCAAUCAGAGCAGGACUGGGGUGAGAGAAUUAUUUUAAAAUUUGAA
rnacentral:lncRNA from 1 species